rnacentral:rRNA from 1 species
GUCUAUGGCCAUACAACCCUGAACAUACUCAAUUUCAGAAGCUAAGCAGGCUCAGGCCUGGUUGGUACUUGGAUGGGAGAACUCAGGAAUUAGUAGUAU